rnacentral:rRNA from 1 species
AAGUGUGACCAUACCAGUAGUAAUGCCCAAGAUCCCAUCAGAACUCCGUAGUUAAGCGUGCUUGUGGGAUAGUAGAACUAUGAUGGGUGACCUUCCGGGAAGACCUCGUGUUGCACCUC